rnacentral:lncRNA from 1 species
UUGCCAUUGUUUGGAGGAGGUAAUUGGCCCUCAGAGACGAGAGUUAUUCCAAUGCUAAUUAAAAGAAUAAAGCCCCAGGCAGCAAACCAACCUCAAUUGCCUGUAGUUGCUUUUGCAUUAACCAUCAUCUUUGUUUAGAGAACUGCACAUUUGGUUGAUAAUAUCAACUUAAUAAACAGCCUUCCCAAAGUCUCCUUUAGGAAGAUAUCUUAUUAAAAUGGGAUUGUUUAAAACAAGGCCUCUUUUCAAAUAUGGUAAAACAUAAAAAUUUGAAAAAUUACACUAAGGGCAAAAUCAAAGGAAAGUUGUUUGAAAGUAUAGGAUCAGUGAGAGAAAAAUGAAGUGUUUCAACCUGGUCUUUCUGUUUUCUUAUUGUCACUGGUAGAAAGAUAAGUAGGAAGUUGCAGAUAAUUUUAGAGGCACAUAGAAAGGAAUUGUGGGCAUCUUAUUUUUGUUGGUGUCAUUUUUCCUUCCUUUUUCAUGUUUCUUGUGUCCUUAUGUUGAUAUUCUGUGCAUCUGGUCUAACAGUCAUUUCUUUCUAUUUUUGAAUUUACCUUCGUAGGGAAGAAAUUUUUCCUGCAGACAUGUCUAUGGUGUUGGUUGGGUAGGGCGCUUUGGCUUUGAUUCUGGGUGUGUGCAGUAGUACAGUCUUUAUAUGAUUUCUUUGGCUGUAA